rnacentral:rRNA from 1 species
UACGUAGGGUGCGAGCGUUGUCCGGAAUUAUUGGGCGUAAAGAGCUUGUAGGCGGUUUGUCGCGUCUGCUGUGAAAAUCCGGGGCUCAACCCCGGACUUGCAGUGGGUACGGGCAGACUAGAGUGCGGUAGGGGAGAUUGGAAUUCCUGGCGUAGCGGUGGAAUGCGCAGAUAUCAGGAGGAACACCAAUGGCGAAGGCAGAUCUCUGGGCCGUAACUGACGCUGAGGAGCGAAAGCAUGGGGAGCGAACAGG